AAUGAACGCUGGCGGCAUGCCUUACACAUGCAAGUCGAACGGCAGCAUGACCUCGCUUGCUAGGCUGAUGGCGAGUGGCGGACGGGUUAGUAAUGCAUCGGAACUUGCUUUUUAGUGGGGGUUAACGUAGCGGAAGAUACGCUAAUACCGCAUAUUCUCUGAGGUUGAAAGCAGGGGGCCUUGGUUCCCUGGUCUGUAAGGUCGGCCGAUGUCGGGUUAGCUAGUUGGUGAGGUUAUGGAUCACCAAUGCAACGAACCGUAGCUGGUCUGAGAGGAUGACCCGCCACCUGGGCAGUGAGAAACGGCCCCGACUCCUAGAGGAGGCCGCAGUGGGGAAUUUUGGAGGAUGGGGCAAAGCGUGAUCCAGCAAUGCGGCGUGAGGGAAGAAGGCCUUCGGGUUGUAAAGCUCUUUCGGCUGGGAAGAAAUCGCACUCUCUAAUACAGGGUGUGAAUGACGGUACCAGCAUAAGAAGCACCGGCUAACUCCGUG
rnacentral:rRNA from 1 species